CUUGCCAAUGAGACAUGCCGUGCCCGGAUGAGGCGAUGCGGUGAGAUGAAGUGAUGGCACAGGGCUGGAGGACUAAGCUGGGUUGGCAUGGGGCUGGGGACACAGCUCUCUUGCUGAACCCACAGAGCUGCAUUCCUACGCCCAGACCCUGGUGGGUCUCCUGCGCCAGGCUGGGGACUUCAUCCGAAACCAGCUUGACUUCUCCUUCCUCACCCGCACUCUUCCCCAGCUCCUGGGCAAGAUCUAUGGUCAUCUCUUCCCCGUCCGCAUCCGUAGGGAUGCCCCAGACCCAGUGAUGGUUGAGCACCCCACACCCGAGGGACCCCUGAGACCAACCCACAGGCAGCUGCCCACCUUCAGGGAAUUUUUUGGGACUGUGGGGCCGCGGCUGCAGGACUGGGUGCAGGCUCUGAGGGCCACAGGGGAGGGCAGCACUCUGGCACCCACCCCAGAAGGGGAGCAGCUCCCUGAGGAGACAUGGCUCUUCUUACAGGUACUUGGAGAGAAAUGGGCUGAGGGGAGCACUACCUCUAUGGUGGUGCCAGCAGGGACCAUACCCCUGCAGCACCCCAUGGGUGCCCCACUGUCUGCACUGUCCCCCUCCCCUUCCCUGUAGCAGGGUGAGGAGCUGGUGGAGGAGCUGGUGGGACAGGGCAGAGCCUUCCUCACUCAGCUCCAGGCAGAGAUGGACCUUGACACACCGUUGGAGGCCAUGC
rnacentral:lncRNA from 1 species